AUUGAACGCUGGCGGCAUGCCUUACACAUGCAAGUCGAACGGUAACAGGUCUUUCGGGAUGCUGACGAGUGGCGAACGGGUGAGUAAUACAUCGGAACGUGCCUAGUAGUGGGGGAUAACUACUCGAAAGAGUGGCUAAUACCGCAUGAGAUCUAUGGAUGAAAGCAGGGGACCUUUGGGCCUUGUGCUACUAGAGCGGCCGAUGGCAGAUUAGGUAGUUGGUGGGAUAAAAGCUUACCAAGCCUACGAUCUGUAGCUGGUCUGAGAGGACGAUCAGCCACACUGGGACUGAGACACGGCCCAGACUCCUACGGGAGGCAGCAGUGGGGAAUUUUGGACAAAGGGCGCAAGCCUGAUCCAGCAAUGCCGCGUGCAGGAUGAAGGCCUUCGGGUUGUAAACUGCUUUUGUACGGAACGAAAAGUCUUGGGUUAAUACCCUGGGAUCAUGACGGUACCGUAAGAAUAAGCACCGGCUAACUACGUG
rnacentral:rRNA from 1 species